rnacentral:tRNA from 1 species
CGGGGUGUAGCUCAGUUCGGUAGAGCGCUCGGUUUGGGACCGAGAGGCUUCGGCGGUUCGAAUCCGCCCACCCCGA